AUUGAACGCUGGCGGAAUGCUUUACACAUGCAAGUCGAACGGCAGCACGGGGGCAACCCUGGUGGCGAGUGGCGAACGGGUGAGUAAUACAUCGGAACGUGCCCGGUCGUGGGGGAUAACGUAGCGAAAGUUACGCUAAUACCGCAUACGAUCUGAGGAUGAAAGCGGGGGACCUUCGGGCCUCGCGCGAUCGGAGCGGCCGAUGUCAGAUUAGGUAGUUGGUGGGGUAAAGGCCUACCAAGCCGACGAUCUGUAGCUGGUCUGAGAGGACGACCAGCCACACUGGGACUGAGACACGGCCCAGACUCCUACGGGAGGCAGCAGUGGGGAAUUUUGGACAAUGGGCGCAAGCCUGAUCCAGCCAUUCCGCGUGCAGGACGAAGGCCUUCGGGUUGUAAACUGCUUUUGUAUGGAAUGAAAAGGCUCUGGCUAAUACCUGGGGCUCAUGACGGUACCGUAAGAAUAAGCACCGGCUAACUACGUG
rnacentral:rRNA from 1 species